rnacentral:misc_RNA from 1 species
GAUGAAGAACGUAGCGAAAUGCGAUAAGUAAUGUGAAUUGCAGAAUUCAGUGAACCAUCGAAUCUUUGAACGCACAUUGCGCCCGGCAGUAAUCUGCCGGGCAUGCCUGUCCGAGCGUCAUUUCUGCCCUCGAGCCUGUCCAGCAUCUAGGUGCUGUUCCGGCCCGGUGUUGGGGCACUACGGGAAGCCUCGUGCUAUCCCCCGUAGGCCCCGAAAUGAAGUGGCGGUCCUGCCGCGGCUCCCCCUGCGUAGUAUUACAGCUCGCUUCGGGACCCGGUGGAGGCCUGCCGUCAAACCUUACUCUCUAAGUUUGACCUCGGAUCAGGUAGGGUUACCCGCUGAACUUAAGCAUAUCAAUAAGCGGAGGA